rnacentral:rRNA from 1 species
UACGUAGGGGGCGAGCGUUGUCCGGAGUUACUGGGCGUAAAGCGCUUGUAGGCGGUCCACCAAGUUUGGGGUGACAGUUGCCGACUUAAUCGGCAAAGUGCCUCAAAGACUGGCGGACUUGAGGGCCACAGAGGGACAUGGAACUCCAGGUGUAGUGGUGAAAUGCGUAGAUAUCAAGAGGAACACCUGAGGUGAAGACGGGUUGCUGGGCCGACACUGACGCUGAUGCGCGAAAGCCAGGGGAGCAAACGGG